UAAGUGGGAAACGAUGUGGGAAGGCUUAGACAGCUAGGAGGUUGGCUUAGAAGCAGCCACCCUUUAAAGAAAGCGUAAUAGCUCACUGGACUAGUGGUUCUGCGCCGAAAAUGUAACGGGGCUUAAGAUACGUACCGAAGCUAUGGACUUUUUAAAGUGGUAGGAGAGCAUUGUGUUUACCGAUGAAGGUGUACCGCGAGGAGCACUGGAGGUCCCACAAGAGCUGAUGAUGGCAUGAGUAGCGAUAAGGAAUGUGAGAAUCAUUCCCGCCGAAAAUCUAAGGGUUCCUGGGCCAGGUGACUCCGCCCAGGGUUAGUCGGAUCCUAAGGUGAGGCCGAAAGGCGUAAUCGAUGGAUAACAGGUUAAUAUUCCUGUACUUAGUAUGUCUCGCUUGACUUGAUGGAGUGACGGAGAAAGGUAGCAAAGCCACCUGUUGGAUGGUGGUUUAAGCACGUAGGGGGACUGGAUAGGUAAAUCCGUCUGGUUGUUAACCCUGAGAUGCGAAUACGAGGCGUAAGCCGAAGUUUGUGAUCCUCUGCUUCCCAGAAAAACUUCGCAAGGAGAGAUAUAUUAAUCCGUACCGUAAACCGACACAGGUAGUCGAGGAGAGUAUCCUAAGGCGCUCGAGUGAUCCGUGGCUAAGGAACUAGGCAAAAUCGACUCGUAACUUCGGGAGAAGAGUCGCCCCCUGUGAGGGGGGCCGCAGUGAAAAGGCCCAGGCGACUGUUUAACAAAAACACAUGGCUUUGCGAAGUUUAACGACUAAGUAUAAGGCCUGACACCUGCCCGGUGCUGGAAGGUUAA
rnacentral:rRNA from 1 species